UACGUAGGGGGCUAGCGUUGUCCGGAUUUAUUGGGCGUAAAGAGCGUGUAGGCGGCCAUGUAGGUCCGGUGUGAAAACUCGAGGCUUAACCUCGAGAUGUCAUCGGAAACCAUUUGGCUAGAGUCCGGAAGAGGAGAGUGGAAUUCCUGGUGUAGCGGUGAAAUGCGCAGAUAUCAGGAAGAACACCAAUGGCGAAAGCAGCUCUCUGGGACGGUACUAACGCUGAGACGCGAAAGCGUGGGGAGCGAACAGG
rnacentral:rRNA from 1 species